UUUAAAGUCUAAUCUGCCCUAUGAGGUAUUAAAUGGCCGCGGUACUUUGACCGUGCAAAGGUAGCAUAAUAAUUAGUUUUUUAAUUGGAAGCUGGAAUGAAUGAUUGGACGAGAAAAUAGCUGUCUCAAUUUGAUUUUAUUAGAAUUUUAUUUUUAAGUAAGAAAGCUUAAAUUUGAUUAAAAGACGAGAAGACCCUAUAGAGUUUUAUAUUUUAUUAAUUAUUGAUUUUUAAGUCUUAUUUUAUUAAUAAUUGAUUAAUUAUUUUGUUGGGGCGAUAGAGAAAUAAAUUUAACUUUCUUUUUAUUUUAACAUUAAUGUAUGAUUUUUUGAUCCAUAUUUUAUGAUUAUAAGAUUAAGUUACCUUAGGGAUAACAGCGUAAUUUUUUUUUAGAGUUCUUAUCGAAAAGAAAGGUUGCGACCUCGAUGUUGGAUUAAAAUUAAUGCUUGGUGUAGGAGCUAGGUAAUUGGGUCUGUUCGACCUUUAAAAUUUUACA
rnacentral:rRNA from 1 species